CCCCGCUCCUGAAUUUGUUUAUUCUGCACUGGGCAUGGGAGUAGGUGGCAAACAGAUGGGCAUCCAUGAAUUAUGGAAAUUAUGGGCUUUGAUUAACCACCACACACUCUGCUGGAUAAAAGUAACUCCAGGGUUGCCAAGUUAUGUGGUGCAGUGGGCUGUGCCGUCAGUCACUCAGCAGCGUGAUGGACCUGAUGCUUGAUUGAUGUUGUUUACUGUUCAGUGUUUAAAAGAACAUAAAGUAAAACGGACGCUUUGUUCAUACUAUGCUUCCUGUUAGGUUUUGUCCAAGGGAAAAUGCACUUCCAAAUUUUGAUGGUUUCAAUCCUUUGCUGGAGCUUUGCAGGCACUUUUUGGUGGAAUUGGGUACCUAACUUUGGUGGAAAAAUCGGAUAUGUGUGCAGAAAAUGUGAGGAUGUACAAGAAGAAGUUCACUGCUAACAGUUAACCUGUGUUUCUCUUGUCAAAAACAAGUUGUGGUUUUAUGGAACUUUGUUAUAACACUACACUAUGUCCGCCAAAUUAUUAGAAUGAUUUUUUUUUUUUUAAAACAUUAUUAUUAUUAUUAUUAUUAUUAUAGGUUUUGGGGGGAAAUGCAUUUGUUGCUGAAACAGAAGAUUUAAACCUCUCCCAUAAGCACCGUAAAUAACACCUUGUUUAGAUUUACAUACUAGACAAAGCCAGACGCACUUUCAAAUGAUAAUCACACAAAAAACUACAUCAUUUUUAUUUUUUUUUUUUAAUUUGUUGGUUUGCUUUAUGUAUUUAUUUAUUUUUGACACAUAAAAUAAGCUGGUUUUAUUGUUGAGUCGUGGAGCUGCUGGUUGACAAACACUUUGCUCCACUUGGCUCGGGCAGAGCCAGGCUAGCUGUCUCCCUCCAGUGUUUGUGGAUAUGAGCUAACUGUCCACUGCUUCCAGCUUCAUAAUGUACAAACACGAAAGUGGCAUGGAGCCUGCUGUAUGAAUCGAAAAUGCACGUUUCCCAAAAUGUUGAACUAUUCCUUGAAGUGCAGGGUUCAACCACUUUAAAUUCACUGCUAGAUCCAGACUUACUUUCUGGUCAAAUUAUAUUGAUUUAUGCAGGUUAUUAACGGUCCUGUGGGCUCUGUUCUGGGAGUAUACUAUGAAUAUAAGAAGUAUUUGGCUCUUGGUUCUCCUUAGCACCAUAAUUCAUCCUUUAAGGAUGAGUGUUCAGUAGCAUGCUGCCUGAUAAUUAAUCAUGCAGACUGUAUGAUAAUCGUUUAAUUCUUACGUUUUUACAGAGUUAGAUUUGGAGCGUUAAAU
ensembl:lncRNA